GAGGAUCUCAUGAAGAAUGGAAGUAAUGAAGAUUUAGACCUAGGAUAAUUAGA
rnacentral:sRNA from 1 species